CUUGUAUUAGGUCUUCCAACUUUGAUAGAUUCUCUGACCGAAAAAAACACCAAAACACAGAAUGGAAAAGCCCAAGCUAAACUGUUGCUACAAAGUCUCCCCGAGGGAAACCAAAAAUUUCUGAAUUACUUUAUCACCUUGCUUCAUAAAAUAGCUGUACAAAGUGGUAACAUUGUGUUGGGCUCAUUAAGACUGGCAGAAUUUUUGGGUUCAGUCAUUCUUCUCAGGACUCGCAAGUCACUAAAGGUCCAGGUAGAAGCUGAAACUGUUCUACAAUUUCUUAUUAUACAUGCUCCCCAAUUUUUUGAUGGUAAUCAAUUUCAAUUAAGACCUAAAAUUCCUGUUUUUAACAGAGAGAGAGAUAAAGAGAAAAGACAUUCUAUACAAGAACCAUUAUGAUUGACAGAUUUAAUGGACAGCAAUGUAGCUGUAUCAAAGAUAAUCUAAGCUUUAGUAUACACCGC